rnacentral:snRNA from 1 species
AGCUUUGAGGAGUGGCAGUAUCAUAGCCAAUGAGGUUUAUCCGAGGUGCAAUUAUUGCUAAUUGAAAAAAAUGUUACUUUGGCUGUUUUGGUGCUAAACUAUUAGAGUGAAGAACAAGGACUCAGGUCAACUUUCUUUACAGGAAUUUGAAAUAUUGUGAUGUGACCUGUAAUAUCUGUAUUUUUCAAAACACAAAUUUUUAGAUUUUUCAAUAAAA